GCCGGGCGUGGUGGCGUGCGCCUGUAGUCCUAGCUACUCAGGAGGCUGAGGCAGGAGAAUCACUUGAACCCGGGAGGCAGAGGUUGCAGUGAGCCGAGAUCGCGCCACUGCACUCCAGCCUGGGUGACAGAGCGAGACUCCGUCUCAA
rnacentral:SRP_RNA from 2 species